rnacentral:lncRNA from 1 species
AGUUGAUCUCUGAGAAGUGAGUAGCUGGAGGCACCAGGAUACCAGCCAAGCCUAAAGGAUAAAGCAAAUCCCUGGACAUGGCUUUUGAUUCCAAGCUAAGAAGUGCAAGAAGCUCUUCCAAAUACAACUGCAACUGCCAAGAGAUUGAUGGACCAGAGAAUGGCCUCUUCAUUCCAGGCACUUCUAAAGUCCAAGUGGUCAAAUACCAGCCUCUUUUUACCAAUGUUCCCACCUGUUUCAUUCAGCCAAAUUUCAUUAGAUGAAGGAAGGUGGUGCAUUCUUGAGAUUGAGAAUACAGAUGAGAAGCAGGUUUGAAUGGUGAAGAAAUGAUGGACGCUGUUUGUCUCAAACAAGGACUCUAAUGAUACAACAGAACAAGUCACAAGAAAGCUUGCCUGGAAAACCAUACACUGGCCUCUUCGUGGUGAAGUCCUUCACAAUCCUUACAAACAUAGAAAAUAUUCAGCAAUUCGUUUGUUUGUUUUCCAGUCCACUCUUACUUGAGAAAAAUGCAAAACAUCAAAGACACAGAAAAACCACCAGUCUAUACAGCUUGCCCAUACUAAAUUGUUAUUCAUUUCAGAAGAGUGUACAGUUUCUUUCUGGAAAGAAGCAUGGGUUAAAGAAGAUACUGGUGCAAAAGGAAGAGCAAUUAUCUUAAAUUUGGGACAAAGGCAAUGGAGGAGAAAGUUGACUCUCUGGAAAAUCUGACUGGUGCUCUUUCCUCGUGUGCUCCAAGAACUUAAAAGCCAAUUGUGAUGUUUCCAAAAUAAAGUACAGAGAAAGACACUUCUAUUUCAUUCCUCUUUCCCAGUGGCAGAUUAUUUGUAUCCAAGCUUCAUGGAAUUUACCCGAGAUGGGAUAAAUAUAAUUUUGUGUUUUUUAACAGAAUAAGGUUUAUCUCUCCACAGUUUCCAUGUAAAAUUCUUUUUUUCCUACAACCAACUGGGUACCUUCUACUUUUUCUGUGAAGGCAUUUAUUUCUGGCUGGUCAAUCUGAAUUGUUCCAUUAUCUUGCUACCCACUAGUGAUGAAUAAACUUCCUUAUUUCUGA